rnacentral:sRNA from 1 species
UGAGGACACGCAGCAGUAAGCAUCCUCCUGAAGCCUUGAAUUCAAGUCUACUUUAUGUAGGCAACACUAGUCUGUUGCUGGGAUUUUCCCCACAAGAUGACCAGCAGCCGCAACACUAAUCAUUGUGUGCGGUUCACAGAUCAAACACUAGUGACCUAUAAGAACCUAUUUUGGGUUAAAAUAUGACCGGCCCUCUCUAGAGAUAGAGAGGCUCAUGCGUUCCGUAGGUGAACCUGCGGAAGGAUCAUUACAGAGUUGGGGUCUUCCUGGCCCAACCUCCAACCCCAUGUGUACCUAUCUUUGUUGCUUUGGCGGGCCCGCUUGGGGUGACUCACCGGUGGCCUUGGCUGCCGAGCGCCCGCCAGAGACCCAUCAAACCCUGUUAACUGUGACGUCUGAGUACCAACACAAUCGUUAAAACUUUCAACAACGGAUCUCUUGGUUCUGGCAUCGAUGAAGAACGCAGCGAAAUGCGAUAAGUAAUGUGAAUUGCAGAAUUCAGUGAAUCAUCGAAUCUUUGAACGCACAUUGCGCCCUUCGGUAUUCCGGAGGGCAUGCCUGUUCGAGCGUCAUUACACCACUCAAGCCUGGCUUGGUGUUGGGCCCUCAUCCUCCAUGGAUGUGCCCGGAACUUAGCGGCGGCGCAGCUCGGCUUCAAGCAGUAUUAGUUUAUGUUUCGCUUUGGAAGCCCGGGCCUGGGCCUGCCGGACAACCCCCAUGUCUUUCUGGUUGACCUCGGAUCAGGUAGGGAUACCCGCUGAACUUAAGCAUAUCAAUAAGCGGAGGAAAAGAAACCAACAGGGAUUGCCUCAGUAACGGCGAGUGAAGCGGCAACAGCUCAAAUUUGAAAUCUGGCUCUUUCAGGGUCCGAGUUGUAAUUUGUAGAGGAUGCUUCGGGUACGGCUCCGGUCUAAGUUCCUUGGAACAGGACGUCGCAGAGGGUGAGAAUCCCGUACGUGACCGGCCUCCACGCCCGUGUGAAGCUCCUUCGACGAGUCGAGUUGUUUGGGAAUGCAGCUCAAAAUGGGUGGUAAAUUUCAUCUAAAGCUAAAUAUUGGCCAGAGACCGAUAGCGCACAAGUAGAGUGAUCGAAAGAUGAAAAGCACUUUGGAAAGAGAGUCAAACAGUACGUGAAAUUGUUGAAAGGGAAGCGCUUGCAACCAGACUUGCCCGCGGGCGAUCAACCGGUAUUCUUACCGGUGCACUCGCCCGUGGUCAGGCCAGCAUCGGUUUGGGCGGCUGGACAAAGUCCCCCGGAACGUAGCUCCUUUCGGGGAGUGUUAUAGCCGGAGGUGCAAUGCAGCCCGCCUGGACCGAGGACCGCGCU